GGGGGCGUAGCGCAGUUGGGAGCGCGUUUGAAUGGCAUUCAAAAGGUCGUCGGUUCGAUCCCGAUCGUCUCCA
rnacentral:tRNA from 1 species